rnacentral:sRNA from 1 species
UGCAAGAGAUGGACAAGCAGCAUUGUGAUGUGAGCAUUAAGCACUGUCACAAUGCGCCCAUCUGAGGGCUAUGCAAAUCUGGGCCAUUUGAGAGCUGACAGCAACGCAGUCUUGGUGAUGAAACCUUCCCCAGCUCCAGGAUUCUGACUUCAGAGCCUACGCUGGAGUUAUACUGAAGGACUUGGAAUAAACUGAAGUUGGAAAUCACAUUAGGAUUUCAUAGAAGGUCCUAGGCUAAGUAUUGAUAACAGACAUGAAGAUAAGGAUACAGUCCCUGCACAGGACAGCCCUAGACUUGAUGGUGUGAGAAGACAAAGAAGACGUAUAUUUUCCAGGAAGGUGAGGCACCUGCCAGAAAGUGAUUAAUUAUGCCUUGGAAGAACAAUAACAGUUUAGGGAAUCUUUUUUCCUGUAGCCAACAAUAAAAUGAUACAACAUUACCGUUCCCUCACCAUCUACAAGAUACACCCUAACCUCACCUUAUCCCUCAAGAGUGGUCUGGGAAAGGGCUGAAGUUCAAAGGUGAAGAAGCUAAGGACCACAUACCUAGUCACACGGGAUUUGAGGCCAGAUGUGCAUAGUUCCUUAGCCUUGUCCAGUCCAGAAACACCCAUUCUGCUUCUCUAUUACAAUCUGCAGGUAAGAUAAAAAGACAAGACAGAAUCCCAGGCCUACCUACCAACCAGCAGCCUCUUCUCUCGCUGAGCUGGAAUCCCAGUUUGAAGACGGGGACUUCCAAUUUCAUGUGUUUGCCAGAUUCCCUCAUCCGUGACUUGUGAACACCCGAGAGUCAAAGAAAGAGUCCUCAUGCUUUUUCUGAGACCUUCUGGACCCAGCACUCACAUGCUGACUGGCUGAUCGCUGACCUGCCCCGUGUUUUUAUGAGGAGCUUGAUAAUUGCAGAAUCGUCCUGUCCACCCUGUUGGAUCAUCACAGAGGAGCUCAGAUAGCAGCUCUGGAGCCAUUUGAUGGAGACAUACACAGCUCAUUUCCCAACUUCAACACAGUGGCUAUUUUGCUUCUCAGAGUAGCAAAGAGUAAUAAUUUCAACAAUUGACCUCAUGCUUCGAGUGCUAACAAACUAAAGUGCUUGGUUCCUCUCCUUGACGCUUCACACACUUACAGAACUCUCCCAGCACCCUGCAGGACUGUAGCUAGAUGACUGAUGGGGAUGUGUAAGAAGGAGAGCAGUCCACCCUUGAACCUACAGAGGGAGGGCAGAGACAUAAGCCCAUGGCACCUUCACCAACUAUCUAGGGUUUGCUGUAUGCUUGGUAGUGGGCCGAUCUAUCUCAGCUUACAGUCAGGAUGCUAAUGAGAGCAGAGAAUGCCGAAGCACCCUGGGGAGAUGUUUGGAGGACUGGACACUGGGUGGGAGGUUUUCAACCUUAGGAGUUGCUUUUCUGAGAUGUGUGCCUACCUUUUUGCUGUUCUGGUGAUCCAAACCCAAGGCCUUGAGACACGAGCGAGCCCUGAGCUAUACCCACACCCCAGUCGCUGAGGUAGAACAUUUGAG